CAAAAACAGUUACGUUUUCUAUGUGUUCUUAAAAUCCUGAAAACAAUUUUACAAGAAGACGUUUUUGAAAUGGAAUUCAUAGUAGUACUGAUAUUAUCUAGUUUGCUAUGUAUCUGCAACGGUAAUGUGUUUGGUCCUAGUACACAAAGUUCUUGUGAGGCCGACAUAAAGGAGACACGAUACAUCCAAUCGAACAUUAAUGUUUUGAAAGACAAUAUGCAUGAGCUACUGAAAAGAGUUAUUAAAAACGAAAACGAAAUUUCUUCACUUAAAAGUGAAAACCAGUUUCUGACAAAUGUGAUCGAAAACGGAAGGCGUAAUUUUUUAUGUGAUAUCAACAUGUUACAUAAAAACACUAACGAACAGCAACAAACAUUGACUGAUACUAACACGGAGAUUUAUCAUCUUAAUGAAACUAUAGACGAACUGAGGAAUGAUGUCGAUAAGUUAGAAGAGUUACAAGGACGAAUUUCUGGGGAAAACAUUACAGAAUGUAUUGAGAAAUCAGAAUCGCAUCAAGAGAGAUGAAACAGAGAUUGCACAGAUAACAGACAAGAGAUCAGACGCUGGAAAAUUGUGUGUACACAAUAUAUCCUGACGGUAAACAAUCUGUCCAGGCCUACUGUGAUAUGUCUACAGACGGCGGAGGAUGGACAGUUAUUCAGAAAAGAUUUGAUGGGUCUGUUGACUUUAACCGGAAGUGGUUGGAGUGUGUAAACGGAUUCGGUAACGUGAAUGGAGAAUUCUGGUUUGGAAAUACUUACGUGCAUACCCUGACAGCCAGUGGAAACUACGAAUAGAUAUGGUUGACACAAGCAAUAACAAGAAAUAUGCUGUAUACCAAAACUUCAGUAUUGGAGACGUUGCUUCUAAGUACACGUUAUCAAUCGGUGGUUAUGAAGGAAA